rnacentral:tRNA from 1 species
ACCUGGCUGGCUUAGUCGGUAGAGCAUGGGGCUCUUGAUCUUGGGGUUGUGAGUUCAAGCCCCAUGCUGGGUG